GUCAGGGUGCGGCGCGCUGAGAUGAUGUAAUGGCUUUGUGCGGUGGGGGCGGUAGGUUCUGCGCUUCUCGGUGCGACUCGCUAUUCUGGGGCCGCCUCCGCCGGGUCCUAGCCAGACCCCCACCCCACCCCCGGCCCGGCUCUGCCCCGCCACGCCCGUGUGAACCCGGCGUAGGUAAACAUCUAAAAUCUAUUUUAUGAAACUGACGCUCAAUCAAGUAUAACUCUUUGAUGCCUGGUAUCUAAAUCCCCCCCCCACUAUGCCAGCAGCUACAG